rnacentral:lncRNA from 1 species
CCAUAUUUUAACAAAGAUCCUCCAUUCAUCCAAAAGAUUAUGAACGAAUCGUUACCGCCCCGAUUCAAAACACCAUAGUUGGAACCAUACGAUGGAACUACCAAUCCAGUGGACCACUUAGAAAAUUUUAAAUCUCUCAUGCUCCUGCAAAGAGUAACUGAUGCACCCCUCUAUCGAGUUUUUCCUUCGACCUUGAGGAAGGUUAUCUGCCAAUGGUAUUCAAGCCUGCAACCAAAUACCGUAGACUCUUUUUACCAGCUUAGUCGAAUGUUCAUCGCACACUUCGUCAGCAGUCGCUGGUAGCGUCGCAACUCAGAUUUUCUCGUCAGUAUAAAAUAAUGGGAGAAUGAGCCACUCCGAGACUAUAUCAACUGCUUCAAUACUAUGACCUUGGAAGUGCGGAACUUGGACCAAUCCGUAGCAAUGACCUUACUAAAGGCCGAACUUCUCUAAAAUGACCUCUUCUUGCUCAACAAAAAAUAUCCGAAGUACUUUGUCAAAAUGUUGGAGCGGGUGGAGAGGUAUGCUCAAGCAGAGGAAGUCUAAGACCAACAAGGGGAGAACCUAGGUAGCAGAUCGCAGCCGAACACUAAACAAAGUAAGAAAAAAGAUUCUUCUUGCUCAACAAAAAAUAUCCGAAAGACUUUGUCAAAAUGUUGGAGCGGGUGGAGAGGUAUGCUCAAGCAGAGAAAGUCUAUGACCAACAAGGGGAGAACCUAGGUAGCAGAUCGCAGCCGAACACUGAACAAAGUAAGAAAAAAGAUUAUCGAUGAGUGCAAUAUCGAUGCGUCAAGCAAAGGCUUUGUCACUCUCGGACUCCACCUUGGGGAAAUCGAGCUAGAUCUCUCGCGAGGCAAUAUCGAUCUAGAAUCCCUCCAUAGAAAUUUCACUAUUUCACUCCAUUGAACACCUCUUGAGCCCAGAUACUAAUGGAGAUAGAAUGCCAAGAAGAGCUCCCCUGACCAAGGAUGUCUACUCCAUUGUGAGCAAGGAAUCCGAGAAAAUAUUGCAGGUACCAUCGAGAUCAUGAGCACAAUAUGGAGGAAUGUUGGUAGCUCAAAGAAGAGAUAGAAGCACUUAUCCAACAAAGAUGUCUUCGGUGCUAUAUUGAUGAACGGUGAAUCUAGGAGAACCCGCGGGAUGAUCUUUCAUGACAAGAAAAUCUCCAUAAAAAUCAACCAAUAGCG